rnacentral:rRNA from 1 species
AUUGAACGCUGGCGGCAGGCCUAACACAUGCAAGUCGAACGAGUGGCGGACGGGUGAGUAAUGUCUGGGAAACUGCCCGAUGGAGGGGGAUAACUACUGGAAACGGUAGCUAAUACCGCAUACCAUCGGAUGUGCCCAGAUGGGAUUAGCUCGUAGGUGGGGUAACGGCUCACCUAGGCGACGAUCCCUAGCUGGUCUGAGAGGAUGACCAGCCACACUGGAACUGAGCAACGGCCCAGACUCCUACGGGAGGCAGCAGUGGGGAAUAUUGCACAAUGGGCGCAAGCCUGAUGCAGCCAUGCCGCGUGUAUGAAGAAGGCCUUCGGGUUGUAAAGUACUUUCAGCGAGGAGGCGUUACUCGCAGAAGAAGCACCGGCUAACUCCGUGCCAGCAGCCGCGGUAAUUC